rnacentral:rRNA from 1 species
UAGGGAAUCUUCCGCAAUGGGCGAAAGCCUGACGGAGCAACGCCGCGUGAGUAUUAAGGGCUUCGGAUUGUAAAACCCUGUUAUUAGGGAAGAACAAAUGUGUAAGUAACUAUGCACGUCUUGACGGUAACUAAUCAGAAAGCCACGGCUAAACACGUGCCAGCAGCCGCGGUAAUACGUAGGUGGCAAGCGUUACCCGGAAUUAUUGGGCGUAAAGCGCGCGUAGGCGGUUUUUUAAGUCUGAUGUGAAAGCCCACGGCUCAACCGUGGAGGGUCAUUGGAAACUGGAAAACUUGAGUGCAGAAGAGGAAAGUGGAAUUCCAUGUGUAGCGGUGAAAUGCGCAGAGAUAUGGAGGAACACCAGUGGCGAAGGCGACUUUCUGGUCUGUAACUGACGCUGAUGUGCGAAAGCGUGGGGAUCAAACAGG